rnacentral:rRNA from 1 species
GUCUACUGCCAUGCCACCCUGAGCAAGCUUGAUCUCGUCUGAUCUCGGAAGCUAAGCAGGGUCAGGCCUGGUUAGUACUUGGAUGGGAGACUACCUAGGAAGACCAGGUGCUGUCGGCA